UUACCUUUUCAUCUUCUCUCCUCUGCUCGACGAGAAGCACAACUCCACUAACAGAUCCACGUUCAUGGUGGUUACAAAAAUUCUCAUCUUCUAUAUAAAUUUUCUUCAACUUUCUCUAAACACAAUAAAACGCACCUCAAAACCUCUUCUAUUUUGUUACUAAAAAAAAACCUCUUCUAUUUUCAAUUACCAAUGCACCACCAGAUCAAACACGAAAACCUCUUUCAAUUUCAGAAACCUAAAUCCUGUUGAAAACAACAAUUAUUUUAGGAGAUUGAAGAUGCCUCUCGAUUUUACUUUUCUCUUAAAUCUAAAUUCUUUAAAAAAACAAUGGAAGAUCAGAGUUUUAAUAGCCAGGACAUGAAAAUUUUAUCCAAAAGACAAACUUGGAGUUAUUUUGGGCAUUGAAGCAAUUCUCGUGGAUGCAAAGGGGGAUCGAAUUCAAGCAUCAGUGAAAAACACAUUAGUUAGAAAAUUCAAAAAGAAAUUGGUGGAAGAAAGGUUUUGUGAUAUCAUGAAUUUUGAAGUUCGUGAUAACCUUGGUGACUACAAAGGAACUGCACAUCCUUACAAGAUUAAUUUCAUGUUUACUACAUGGGUGAAGCCGUGUGAUCCGAUCCCAAGUAUAUCUCGCUUCACCUGUUAUUCUUUCUCAGAGAUUUCAACUCAAGCCAAUGUGGAUGAUGUAUUCUUCGCUAUGUUUCCUCCUGCUAUUCUACAUGUCACUUUACUCUAAAAUAGAUUACCAAAUCCUUUAUCGUUUUAAAGUGGAUCAAUCUUUCUCAGUAAAGUUUAUUUAAAAGGAAAUUUUUUGACAAUA